UACAAGUACUUUUAGAAGUAGGAGAAGCUAAUCAACAGGACAGAAUUCAUUUGGGUCAUUGCUGUCUAGAUUAUAUAGUGGAUUCAUAGAUUAUCGAAUUGAUUUAUGUGCAUAUGAGCACAGAGGAGCAGUAGUCAAUGAAUAAGUUUGUAACAAGAGCUUGUUACCAAAUGAAAGGAAAGGACAGUAUUGACAAGGAUUGAUAUCACUGGUGAACAUGUAUGUCAUUUAGGUGUGAAAGUCCUGCAAAACAGAACUGAUAUCAAAAUACCAUCCACAGUGAAUAUGGUGAAGAAUAACCAAUACAUGUACCAUGAAUACAGGACAUGGAAGACCUCACAAACUUGGGAGUUUUACAAAAAAUAGAACAUUUAAAUUUACAAAGAAGACAUUUAUUUUGACAUUCAUAGACUUGGAAAGUAAAGAAAUUAGAAUGUGAAUAAAAAUCCUUGGAAAUAAAAUUUUGAACUUUGAAGAA